GCGCGUGCUAUACAUGCAGUCGAGCGAACAGAUGAGAAGCUUGCUUCUCUGAUGUUAGCGGCGGACGGGUGAGUAACACGUGGGUAACCUACCUAUAAGACUGGGAUAACUCCGGGAAACCGGGGCUAAUACCGGAUAAUAUUUUGAACCGCAUGGUUCAAUAGUGAAAGACGGUUUCGGCUGUCACUUAUAGAUGGACCCGCGCCGUAUUAGCUAGUUGGUAAGGUAACGGCUUACCAAGGCGACGAUACGUAGCCGACCUGAGAGGGUGAUCGGCCACACUGGAACUGAGACACGGUCCAGACUCCUACGGGAGGCAGCAGUAGGGAAUCUUCCGCAAUGGGCGAAAGCCUGACGGAGCAACGCCGCGUGAGUGAUGAAGGUCUUCGGAUCGUAAAACUCUGUUGUUAGGGAAGAACAAAUUUGUUAGUAACUGAACAAGUCUUGACGGUACCUAACCAGAAAGCCACGGCUAACUACGUGCCAGCAGCCGCGGUAAUACGUAGGUGGCAAGCGUUAUCCGGGAAUUAUUGGGCGUAAAGCGCGCGUAGGCGGUUUCUUAAGUCUGAUGUGAAAGCCCACGGCUCAACCGUGGAGGGUCAUUGGAAACUGGGAAACUUGAGUGCAGAAGAGGAGAGUGGAAUUCCAUGUGUAGCGGUGAAAUGCGCAGAGAUAUGGAGGAACACCAGUGGCGAAGGCGGCUCUCUGGUCUGUAACUGACGCUGAUGUGCGAAAGCGUGGGGAUCAAACAGGAUUAGAUACCCUGGUAGUCCACGCCGUAAACGAUGAGUGCUAAGUGUUAGGGGGUUUCCGCCCCUUAGUGCUGCAGCUAACGCAUUAAGCACUCCGCCUGGGGAGUACGACCGCAAGGUUGAAACUCAAAGGAAUUGACGGGGACCCGCACAAGCGGUGGAGCAUGUGGUUUAAUUCGAAGCAACGCGAAGAACCUUACCAAAUCUUGACAUCCUUUGACCGCUCUAGAGAUAGAGUCUUCCCCUUCGGGGGACAAAGUGACAGGUGGUGCAUGGUUGUCGUCAGCUCGUGUCGUGAGAUGUUGGGUUAAGUCCCGCAACGAGCGCAACCCUUAAGCUUAGUUGCCAUCAUUAAGUUGGGCACUCUAGGUUGACUGCCGGUGACAAACCGGAGGAAGGUGGGGAUGACGUCAAAUCAUCAUGCCCCUUAUGAUUUGGGCUACACACGUGCUACAAUGGAUAAUACAAAGGGCAGCGAAUCCGCGAGGCCAAGCAAAUCCCAUAAAAUUAUUCUCAGUUCGGAUUGUAGUCUGCAACUCGACUACAUGAAGCUGGAAUCGCUAGUAAUCGUAGAUCAGCAUGCUACGGUGAAUACGUUCCCGGGUCUUGUACACACCGCCCGUCACACCACGAGAGUUUGUAACACCCGAAGCCGGUGGAGUAACCUUUUAGGAGCUAGCCGUCGAGGACA
rnacentral:rRNA from 2 species